UACAGAGGGUGCAAGCGUUGCUCGGAAUCAUUGGGCGUAAAGGGCAAGUAGGUGGUCUUAUUUGUCUAGGGUGAAAUCCUUGAGCUUAACUCAAGAAGUGCCCUAGAAACGGUGAGACUCGAGUUUCGGAGAGGGUCGUGGAAUUCCCGGUGUAGCGGUGAAAUGCGUAGAGAUCGGGAGGAACACCAGAGGCGAAGGCGGCGACCUGGACGAAUACUGACACUCAACUGCGAAAGCGUGGGAGCAAACAGGGAU
rnacentral:rRNA from 1 species